rnacentral:rRNA from 2 species
AGGACGAACGCUGGCGGCGUGCCUAAUACAUGCAAGUCGAGCGAAUUGAUGAGAAGCUUGCUUCUCUGAUGUUAGCGGCGGACGGGCGAGUAACACGUGGGCAACCUGCCCUAUAGUUGGGGAUAACUCCGGGAAACCGGGGCUAAUACCGAAUAAUACAUUUCAUCUCCUGGUGAAAUGUUGAAAGAUGGCAUCUCGCUAUCACUAUAGGAUGGGCCCGCGGCGCAUUAGCUAGUUGGUGAGGUAACGGCUCACCAAGGCGACGAUGCGUAGCCGACCUGAGAGGGUGAUCGGCCACACUGGGACUGAGACACGGCCCAGACUCCUACGGGAGGCAGCAGUAGGGAAUCUUCCACAAUGGGCGAAAGCCUGAUGGAGCAACGCCGCGUGAGUGAAGAAGGUUUUCGGAUCGUAAAACUCUGUUGUAAGGGAAGAACAAGUACAGUAGUAACUGGCUGUACCUUGACGGUACCUUAUUAGAAAGCCACGGCUAACUACGUGCCAGCAGCCGCGGUAAUACGUAGGUGGCAAGCGUUGUCCGGAAUUAUUGGGCGUAAAGCGCGCGCAGGUGGUCCUUUAAGUCUGAUGUGAAAGCCCACGGCUCAACCGUGGAGGGUCAUUGGAAACUGGGGGACUUGAGUGCAGAAGAGGAAAGUGGAAUUCCAAGUGUAGCGGUGAAAUGCGUAGAGAUUUGGAGGAACACCAGUGGCGAAGGCGACUUU